rnacentral:rRNA from 1 species
GAUGAACGCUGGCGGCGUGCCUAAUACAUGCAAGUCGAGCGAACAGAUGAGAAGCUUGCUUCUCUGAUGUUAGCGGCGGACGGGUGAGUAACACGUGGGUAACCUACCUAUAAGACUGGGAUAACUCCGGGAAACCGGGGCUAAUACCGGAUAAUAUUUUGAACCGCAUGGUUCAAUAGUGAAAGACGGUUUCGGCUGUCACUUAUAGAUGGACUCGCGCCGUAUUAGCUAGUUGGUAAGGUAACGGCUUACCAAGGCGACGAUACGUAGCCGAGCUGAGAGGGGGAUCUGCCACACUGGAACUGAGACACGGUCCAGACUCCUACGGGAGGCAGCGGUAGGGAAUCUUCCGCAAUGGGCGAAAGCCUGACGGAGCAACGCCGCGUGAGUGAUGAAGGUCUUCGGAUCGUAAAACUCUGUUGUUAGGGAAGAACAAAUUUGUUAGUAACUGAACAAGUCUUGACGGUACCUAACCAGAAAGCCACGGCUAACUACGUGCCAGCCGCCGCAGUAA